GCGAUGAACCAGGCUGCCGCCUGACCGUUUGAUUGAUAUUUCAAGCGGUUGGGAGGAAAGUCCGGGCUCCGCAGGGCAUGAUGCCGGGUAACACCCGGGACUGAUCACUUAAAAUUAAAUGGUCAGGACAGAUAGCGCCACAGAAAAUAUACCGCCUGGCCGCUUAAAUUAAUAAUUUUAGCGGCCGGGUAAGGGUGAAAAGGCGGGGUAAGAGCCCACCUCUUUGGUGGCAACAACGAAGGAAAGGCAAGCCUCAUCAGGAGCAAAGUCAAGUAAGCGCAAAAAAGGGUUAACCCUUUUUCACCGGCUGCCCGCCGGGUAAGCGCGGGUAGACUGCUGCAAAAAUACCGGAAACGGCUUUUUUAGACAGAUGGCAGCGUUAUAAUACAGAACCCGGCUUAUGGUUCAUCGCAUUA
rnacentral:RNase_P_RNA from 1 species